rnacentral:rRNA from 1 species
CGACUCUCGGCAACAGAUAUCUCGGCUCUCGCAUCGAUGAAGAACGCAGCAAAAUGCGAUACUUGGUGUGAAUUGCAGAAUCCCGUGAACCAUCGAGUUUUUAAACGCAAGUUGCGCUCGAAGCCAUUAUGUUGAGGGCACGUCUACCUGGGCAUCACG